GCCUACGGGGGGCAGCAGUGGGGAAUAUUGCGCAAUGGGCGAAAGCCUGACGCAGCGACGCCGCGUGAGGGAUGAAGGUCUUCGGAUCGUAAACCUCUGUCAGCAGGGAAGAACGGUCACUGUGCUAAUCAGCAGUGAAUUGACGGUACCUGCAAAGGAAGCACCGGCUAACUCCGUGCCAGCAGCCGCGGUAAUACGGAGGGGGCGAGCGUUAAUCGGAAUUACUGGGCGUAAAGCGCUCGUAGGCGGUAUGACAAGUCAUGGGUGAAUUCCCGGCGCUCAACGUGGGAA
rnacentral:rRNA from 1 species